ensembl:lncRNA
GUUUAUUGUUCCGGGUGUCUGUCUUGGGGAGAUAUGCGGUAGUUCACCACGGUGUCUUCAUGGCGUCAGAAUUGGAGUUGAAAGGCAGGCGUGAACCCCCUCCUAUCGGUGUCCAUCUUCAGGACGGAUAAAGAAUACAGUUAAUGAGUGAAACUGGAGAACUGUUCAGAGAGAGGAGGCCCAAUGACAACCUGUUAUUAAUUCUGCUGGAGCCGCAUUGAACCAUGCAGUGAGCACGCAUGUCAUUAGCAGCCAGUAGAGCUCAGAUGGCGUCUUACAAAGUCUGCUCCCCUUUUGUUUCCUGAGAAGUGACGUAAAGCCGGUUGUCAGCAAGUGAGUAGAACUUUUAUUAAAUUUCUAAUGAGG